AGCCGGGCGGAAGUGGUCCUUCCCAUUUUACGUCUGAGCCUAAAGUACUGCUAGAGGAUGCCCGGAAUGGUUCCGGUUUACGUUUCGUGUCCUUGUAUAAUUAUUAAAAGAGCUCCCUUUCACUGUCAAAAGCGUACCAGGUGAGGAUAAAUUACAUCGUCUUCCUAGUUCUAGUCAUUUUGGUUUGAAAUAGGAAGGAAGGAGGCGAGCAGGUGAGGGGCGUUCUAAUUGGUCCCGCGCUCGACUUCCGGUAGCCCGGAGACACUAAUUUCGAAACGUGGGUAUAUGCAAGGGCAUCUUUUCUGUUUCAACAACAGCUGUGCUAACUAAAGUGAGACACGUUUUCUAACUUCUCUUGGUAAGACAGAAAUUAAGCAGUAGUACUUCCUGAAACCAUCAAGAAGAAAAAUGUCAGUGACACUGCAUACAGAUGUAGGUGAUAUUAAAAUAGAAGUUUUCUGUGAGAGGACACCCAAAACUUGUGAGAAUUUUUUGGCUCUUUGUGCCAGUAAUUACUACAAUGGCUGUAUAUUUCAUAGAAAUAUCAAAGGUUUCAUGGUUCAAACAGGAGAUCCGACAGGUACCGGAAGAGGAGGUAACAGUAUCUGGGGCAAGAAAUUUGAGGAUGAAUAUAGUGAAUAUCUUAAGAUAAAGAAACUAGCCAGAGUCCAGUGUAUGUGUCAAGAGCUUAUGGGGAUUUUGGUUUUGUUGUCUGCCUGAUCGUUUCACGCCAGCAUGUUCCUUAAUAUAAUCACAAUGUUAGAGGUGUUGUAUCUAUGGCUAAUAACGGGCCAAACACCAAUGGAUCUCAGUUCUUCAUCACCUAUGGCAAGCAGCCACAUUUGGACAUGAAAUACACAGUAUUUGGAAAGGUAAUAGAUGGUCUGGAGACUCUGGAUGAAUUGGAGAAGUUACCAGUAAAUGAGAAGACCUAUCGACCUCUUAACGAUGUACACAUUAAGGACAUAACUAUUCAUGCCAAUCCAUUUGCACAAUAGCAGUAAUCUGGAAAAAUAUUUGGCAGACUAUUCAAGGAACACACCUACUGUGGUUUACCCAGUUUUAAUUAUGUUCAAAGAUUACAUCAUCCUUCUUGUUUAUAGCUAAGAUCUUCUAUGAGUUGGUGGUACCAUGGGGGCCCAAACAGCUUUUAUUCCCAUUAUUAAAGCAUAUUUUUUAUUAAACUAUUACCUAAUGUAUUUAAGUUUAAUUUUCUUAAAACUCUUCUAAUUUUUUUGUUACAUAUAAGCAUUCAUUUUUAAAUGCUGAGUCUCAAAUCCAGGCAUUUUUGAGCACUCUAAUUACAUAUUCCUGCCAUAUCUAGUCCAUGUUCUAGAAGUAGUCUUUUCCAUUUAAUUAUUCACUUUGUACAGUUAGGAGUAAGGACAAGAUAGAGAUCAUCUAGAAAAGCCAGCCAAUCCAUUUUGCUAUUUUCUGUAGUCUUCAGAUUUACAGUAAAGGCUCAGAGAAGUCCUAGAGUACAGUAAGCACUCAGAAUUUCCCAACUCAUUUGCCCAUGGAACAUUUUUGAAAGCUUAUCAUUUACAGUACUGCAGGAUAGAAUACUACAGGUGAUCCGUUUGGAAAAUGCAAUUAGUUGGUUAAGAGCACCAGUUGUGGAGUCCUGGAUUGUGUUUGAAUCACAGUACUAGUACCUUUAGGCAGGUUAACAUCUCCCAAGUUUUCUCAUCCCUAAAGACUCAUCCCGCUUGUAAGAGUAUUACAAGGAUUAAAUGAAACAAUGUGUGUAAAGCUU